AUCGAACGCUGGCGGCAUGCUUUACACAUGCAAGUCGGACGAUUGGCGAACGGGUGAGUAACGCAUCGGAUAGUACCGAGUUAUGGGGGAUAACUGUUCGGACGGACAUCUAAUACCGCAUAUUCUUCGCGCGGCCGAUGUCUGAUUAGCUGGCUGGCGGGGUAAAGGCUCACAAAGUCGACGAUCAGUAGCGGGUCUGAGAGGAUGCUCCGCGACACGGGGACGGAGACACGGCCCAGACUCCGACGGGAGGCAGCGGGGGGGGAUUUUGGACAAUGGGCGCAAGCCUGAUCCAGCCGUGCCGCGUGUCUGAAGAGGGCCUUCGGGUUGUAAAGGACUUUUGUCAGGGAAGCGGUACCUGAAGAAUAAGCACCGGCUAACUACGUGCCAGCAGCCGCGGUAAUUC
rnacentral:rRNA from 1 species